UACAGAGGGUGCGAGCGUUGUCCGGAAUUAUUGGGCGUAAAGAGCUCGUAGGCGGUUUGUCGCGUCGGCUGUGAAAACUCGGGGCUCAACCCCGAGCCUGCAGUCGAUACGGGCAGACUAGAGUGCGGUAGGGGAGACUGGAAUUCCUGGUGUAGCGGUGAAAUGCGCAGAUAUCAGGAGGAACACCGGUGGCGAAGGCGGGUCUCUGGGCAUUACCUGACGCUGAGGAGCGAAAGUGUGGGGAGCGAACAGG
rnacentral:rRNA from 1 species